AUAAAUAUAAUUUAUAUUUAAAAUAUUUAUCCCACGUAAGACGCAUAUCUUAACCUAGUAUACACUCUUAUAUGAGUAAGUAGCCCUAAAAUGAUUGUGCAUGCAUAUUUGGAUAAACACCUAGUAAUAUGUAUUAGUCCACGAUUUCUCCUCAAUAUAAACUUAAUAAUAAAAUUUUAUAUCUAAAUUUAUGAUUGCAAUAAAUAUAUUAUUUUCAUUAAUUUUAUAGUAUAUAAUAUGAGAAAUUUUAUUUCCUGUUUCUUAUAAAGACUAUUUAUAUUUAAUUAUAUUGCUAAAAUAAGAUAUUACUCUAAUAUGAUAUAUAUUUUGGAUGAAACAUAUUUAAUAAAUUUAUUGUUUUAACUAAGUUAUGUUGAUUGUUUUUUCAUUUACGUUAUAGAAUAUGAAAUGGUUUUUAUAUUUUUACAAAUCAUAUUAUAUAUAUUUAAAUAAAUAAAAUACAUACUAAACAGUCUGAUAUAAAGAUUACCAUCAAAAAGAUAAUUUUUAUAUUUAUGCACAUAUAUGUUUAUUUUGAAUAUCUGUUGACUAUAACCAAUAGACCUCUGAUACUUUAACAAGCCAAUAAACCUGUUCUUUAUAGUCUCUUCUUAAUUUUAGAAUUUUUUUUUAAGGCAGUGACUCAAAUCCUUUAUUAUUUUUAGCAUUAUAGAUGAAAUCUCUUAUUUUUGAAUGUAAUCAGCAUGAAGACUAUAUCCAUAUACAUCAAAUUAUUAAUAUUACAUAUUUUAAUAGUGUGAUUUACAUGUAUCAUCAUUAAAAUUAAAAUAUAAUUAAAUAAGGACAUAAAUCUUCAUUUUGAUUACUUUCUGUAGAAAUUAUAUUAUUAAGUAAGAUUUUUUCUACAUAAUGUUAAAUGUCAUUAAAUAUUUGAGUCAAUGAAUAAAAAAUAAAAUAAAUUCUGAAUUCAAAAGAGACUAUAAAUACCAGGUCUAUUGGUUUGUUAAGUAUCAGAAGUCUACUGGUUAUAACCAAAAUUAAGAAUGGCAUCAAAGAUAACGUUCUUCUUGCUUCUUGCUCUUGUUUUCGCUUGUGCAACGAUGGUGAGUGGACAGUUUCAGCAUUGCACAACAAUUAGAGAUUGCAAAAUAUAUUUAAUAUGCAAGAUUGGGGAGACAGAACAAUGCUUAGACAAUCAAUGCAAAUGUGGUCCGACACCUCAAAUUAAAGGUCAGCCGUGCAGGAAAACACACGAUUGCGAUGCAACAAUAUGUAAAGAUUUUAUUAAUGUGUGUGUGGAUGGAUUCUGUACUUGUACUCCUCCUUAAUGCAUAAUAUCAUAAACAUAUGCAUAUUUCUUGAUUUUACUAUCGUGGAAAGAUUUUCUCAUUGAUAUUAAUAACAAGUAUUCUGAAAGAGUUAUGUGUAUGUUUAAGAAUAUAGAUUGAAUAAGGUUUUAUUUUAUAUGAAGGAUUUCUCACACA